rnacentral:rRNA from 1 species
AGACAGAGGGUGCUAGCGUUGUUCGGAAUUACUGGGCGUAAAGGGCGUGUAGGUGGCACGGCAAGUCGGGUGUGAAAUCCCAUGGCUCAACCAUGGAACUGCAUUCGAUACUGCCGAGCUGGAGUUCGGGAGAGGGAGGUGGAAUUCCCAGUGUAGAAGUGAAAUUCGUAGAUAUUGGGAGGAACACCGGCUGCGAAAGCGACCUCCUGGCCCGGCACUGACACUCAUACGCGAAAGCGUGGGGAGC